GGGCUCUUUAUGAGUCAAUUCCCUCUGCAUUUGAACUUCUUUACUUAUUUUUACUGUCACUGAAAUUUUACAAGAUGGCUGAAAAUCCUGGGUAAACUUUAGCUGUGAUAAUAAACAUGUGGAAAAGGAUAUCAUUCACAGCACUAUAGGAGAAGGAUGUUGUCCAGAAACAGAAAGUUUAAAAGAGAAUCUGGAUAUCCUUUGUCUAGGAGACUCUGAGCUUUGUGCUUCUUCUUUGGGCCAGCAGCUCCCUGGAAGG